ACAAAGGAUUGUUAAACUGUGCAGCAGAUGGAAGAAGAGGAAGCUAAGGCAGCGUCUCUCCUUACUAAGAAUAAAACUGGAAGCGUGAGAGAGGCUCAGCUAACCAAGUUUCUGCAAGAGGAGGCGUUCAGGGCCCAAGCAGGUCAGCACGUGGUCCAGGUUGGUGCUCCUGUAAGGAGAAAGUCGGGAUGAGUGAGGCCAGAGCCUGCAGGGAGCCCGUCUGGCCAAGAAUCACUAUGGGGUGCUCUGGCUGCGGGUUGGCGGCAGGCAUCUUGCAGGCCUGUGAUGCAAGACCAGGAAACAAAGGGAUUGGGACACCGGUGGCCUCCGUCCUCACUAAAGCUACUUGAACCAACACUGGUUUGGAGGAUGAUGCCUGAGAUUCCACCAGCCCUUGGGAGUCGGGCCAGGACUGCUACGAUCUUGUCUCAAAAGAACAACACGGAGACAGUGAGAUGGCUCAGCAGGUACAAGCGGCUGCUCUUGCAUGAGGACCCGAGUUUGAUCUGCAGAUCCCACAGUGAAAGAAGAGCCAAUUCAAGAUUGUCCUCUGACCCCAACUAAAUGUGACUGCCAUACAGGGAGAAGACAGUUCACAGAUCAUAAUAAAACCUAAAAGGAAACCUAUCUACAUUAAGAUAAAGACUAUAAUAAAGAUGAUAUGUCA
rnacentral:lncRNA from 1 species